GCUUGAACAUGCCAAGUGUACUGGCAUCUCAGCUGUUCUUCUCCAUCAUUUGACGGAUGAGCAUGAGUGGCCUCCCCCGAUUCAAUAUUAUGAGUAAAGUCAUGGGCCAUUGAGCCAAGAGGAGAGGAAUUCACCAUGGCUUAACAAGAAAAAAACACUUUAGUACCCUUAAAGCCCUCAGAGUGAUUGUCCUUGACAACCACCUUCCAUCAAAGACGCAUACUAUCUAGUCUACAGACUAAACCGUGCAUGGAACAAUAGAAGAGGAUGGCAAUAUUCCUCAGUAAACGCAGUGAAAGAAAAAAGACCUAUCCAUACAAAGAGUCGCUGAAGAAACUGAUCUCCAUGUGUCACUUGAC